AGAGUUUGAUUCUGGCUCAGAACGAACGCUGGCGGCGUGGAUAAGACAUGCAAGUCGAACGAGAGAAUUGCUAGCUUGCUAAUAAUUCUCUAGUGGCGCACGGGUGAGUAACACGUGAGUAACCUGCCCCCGAGAGCGGGAUAGCCCUGGGAAACUGGGAUUAAUACCGCAUAGUAUCGAAAGAUUAAAGCAGCAAUGCGCUUGGGGAUGGGCUCGCGGCCUAUUAGUUAGUUGGUGAGGUAACGGCUCACCAAGGCGAUGACGGGUAGCCGGUCUGAGAGGAUGUCCGGCCACACUGGAACUGAGACACGGUCCAGACACCUACGGGUGGCAGCAGUCGAGAAUCAUUCACAAUGGGGGAAACCCUGAUGGUGUGACGCCGCGUGGGGGAAUGAAGGUCUUCGGAUUGUAAACCCCUGUCAUGUGGGAGCAAAUUAAAAAGAUAGUACCACAAGAGGAAGAGACGGCUAACUCUGUGCCAGCAGCCGCGGUAAUACAGAGGUCUCAAGCGUUGUUCGGAAUCACUGGGCGUAAAGCGUGCGUAGGCUGUUUCGUAAGUCGUGUGUGAAAGGCGCGGGCUCAACCCGCGGACGGCACAUGAUACUGCGAGACUAGAGUAAUGGAGGGGGAACCGGAAUUCUCGGUGUAGCAGUGAAAUGCGUAGAUAUCGAGAGGAACACUCGUGGCGAAGGCGGGUUCCUGGACAUUAACUGACGCUGAGGCACGAAGGCCAGGGGAGCGAAAGGGAUUAGAUACCCCUGUAGUCCUGGCAGUAAACGGUGCACGCUUGGUGUGCGGGGAAUCGACCCCCUGCGUGCCGGAGCUAACGCGUUAAGC
rnacentral:rRNA from 1 species